GAGAGUCCAUGUGAUGAUGUGAGAAGGUGACCAUCUACAAACAAGAAGAGACAUCUUACCAGAAACCAAUCCUGAAGGCACUUUGAUCUUGGACUUCUAGCCUCCCAAACUACAAUGCUGUGAUGAACAUCCUUGUACAUCUCUACACACUUGACUGAUUAUUUAAUUGGGAUAAAGUUCAAAAAGUGACACUGCUGGAUCUACAUAAGAUUUGACAGUUUUAUUUUUCAGCUGGGUUUUGAAGAAUGAAAUGCAUUUCAUCAGGUGAAGAAUCAAGGCAGAGUCCGAUGUGAGCUUAAUCCCACAAACCGUGAGAUCAUGACCAGAGCCAAAAUCAAGAGUUGGAUGCUUAACUGACUGAACCACCCAGGCACCCCCCAAACAAAUAUUUAGAGAUGGACAAGAAAUUCCGAGUUUGGAUACUAUUUAACUGGAUUUUCAUCUCUGUCUAGCAUGUUAUAAAACU